GCAAUGUCAAUCGUGUGUAUGAUGAGAUUAAUGACGACGACGUAGCUGGACCUCCUUCAAGAACUAAUGGCUCAGAGCAAGAUAGUUCAUCAUCAAUCCCAAGAGAAGGAACUAGUAAGACGAACGAAUCAACUAGUCCUCCUCAUACCCCUCCUGCACUGCCGCCCAGAAAAGGAAAGAAAAUUCAGGAGAGCUCAGUUUAAAUCUAAAUGUCGAAGAGUGAAGAGUGCAUGCAGCAAGAAGAAGUCAAAAGUCUAAGUUUCAAACGGCUACUCCAUGCAAGACUUCAGUUUGAGGAACAUAACAGCGCAGGAGGAUCUGUCUACAUUUACAUCAUCAUCAUGAUAUAGGCAUAAAAUAUGCUAAGAAUAGUCUACAUCUGAUCUAGCUAAACUCUAUUUCUGACAUACUUAAAACUUCUUCAACAAAUUCGAUUAUUUUAUUCUCCACUAAGAACAUAUUUUACAUAUUUUAUCAUAAGAUAAAUAUAAGUGACAGAUUCAUUUUUAAAAAGUAUUUUUGUUACAUAAUUAAUAUAGCAUCUUUCAUCUCAUCUCAUUUCUGCCUGUGGUCCUUUCUGGGGCAUAGGCCACCAACCAGCUUCCUUCAGGCAUCUCUGUUAUGUGCGUAUCUCUCCAACUGUCCCCACGUAUUACCUGUCUGCUUAGCAUCUGCUUCUAAAUUACGGCGCAGUGUAUUCUUGGGCCGUCCCCUCUUUCUCUUUCCUUGGGGGUUCCAGGUUAGGGCUUUCCUUGUUAUG
rnacentral:sRNA from 1 species